GUGUAUAUUGAGUUAGCCUUCUAGUUGUUGUAGAGUUCGUUGAUAAAAUCUCGACCAGUGCAUAGAUAACUUCGCUCAGGAUAAAAAGUAUAGAAAUAAUCUCGAUUAUUGUUUGGCUUGCCAUAUUGCCAUACUUAAGAAAGUUAAAGAAGAGUUGUUCAGCCGACAAAAUUCAGACAAUUAGCGAAUCACUAGUAAUUUCACCGGCUGCACCAAGGACAUUACCUCAACUGGGCUUGAAAUUCAUUCCAUAUAGUUGGGAAGAUCUAUGAAGUAUAAAAAUAAAAGUGAUCAUGGCCGAGGCGCAAGAUACAGACUUGGACAGUUUUGAGUCAGUGUAUUUUUAAAGAGAUUCCUU